rnacentral:rRNA from 1 species
AUGGCUCAGUGAGGCCUUCGGACUGGCCCAGGGAGGUCGGCAACGACCACCCAGGGCCGGAAAGUUGGUCAAACUCGGUCAUUUAGAGGAAGUAAAAGUCGUAACAAGGUCUCCGUAGGUGAACCUGCGGAGGGAUCAUUAC